AUACGGAAGGUCCGGGCGUUAUCCGGAUUUAUUGGGUUUAAAGGGAGCGCAGGCGGGCUAUUAAGCGUGACGUGAAAUGUGGCGGCUCAACCGCCGAACUGCGUCGCGAACUGGUGGUCUUGAGUAGGUACGACGUGGACGGAAUUCGUGGGGUAGCGGUGAAAUGCUUAGAUAUCACGAAGAACCCCGAUUGCGAAGGCAGUCCACGAGUCCCUCACUGACGCUAAUGCUCGAAAGUGCGGGUAUCGAACAGGAUUAGAUACCCUGGUAGUCCGCACGGUAAACGAUGGAUGCCCGCUGUCGGCGAUAGAUUGUCGGCGGCCAAGCGAAAGCGUUAAGCAUCCCACCUGGGGAGUACGCCGGCAACGGUGAAACUCAAAUGAAUUGACGGGG
rnacentral:rRNA from 1 species